CCUGCCACUGGCUGUAGUUAAAGGGCCGCGGUAUUUUGACCGUGCGAAGGUAGCAUAAUCAAUAGUCUCUUAAUUGGAGGCUGGAAUGAAUGGCUGCACGAGAAGUGAACUGUCUCUUCUUUAAAAAUUGAAUUUUACUUUUAAGUGAAAAGGCUUAAAUAAUCUGAAGGGACGAUAAGACCCUAUAAAAUUUUACAAUUUGUUUCUGCUCCUUGAAUUUUUGUUUAAAUUGAGUAAGUUGUAUUAUUGUUGGGUUGGGGCGACUAUUAUAUAAUUUAAUAACUGUAAACAAAAGAAAUAAUUUUAUUUAGUUAGUUGAUCCUUUAAUAAAGAUUAAAAGAUUAAGUUACUUUAGGGAUAACAGCGUAAUUUUUUCUGAGAGUUCUUAUCGAUGAAAUUAGUUGCGACCUCGAUGUUGAAUUAAAGUGAUUUUAAGUGUAGCAGCUUAGUUAGUUGGUCUGUUCGACCAUUAAAACUUU
rnacentral:rRNA from 1 species